rnacentral:rRNA from 1 species
UACGUAGGGGGCUAGCGUUGUCCGGAAUCAUUGGGCGUAAAGCGCGUGUAGGCGGCCCGGUAAGUCCGCUGUGAAAGUCGGGGGCUCAACCCUCGGAUGCCGGUGGAUACUGUCGGGCUAGAGUGCGGAAGAGGCGAGUGGAAUUCCUGGUGUAGCGGUGGAAUGCGCAGAUAUCAGGAGGAACACCAACGGCGAAGGCAGCUCGCUGGGACGGUACUGACGCUAAGGCGCGAAAGCGUGGGGAGCGAACAGG